GACGUAGGGCGCGAGCGUUGUCCGGAUUUAUUGGGCGUAAAGAGCUCGUAGGCGGCUUGUCGCGUCGGCUGUGAAAUCCCCGGGCUCAACCCGGGAACUGCGUCCGAUACUGGCAGGCUUGAAUCCGGGAGAGGGAUGCGGAAUUCCAGGUGUAGAGGUGAAAUUCGUAGAUAUCGGGAGGAACACCAGUGGCGAAGGCGGCGACCUGGACAGGUACUGACACUCAACUACGAAAGCGUGGGGAGCAAACAGG
rnacentral:rRNA from 1 species